GGUAUUGAAAUAAGAUUUUAAAUGAGUGCUAAGAGAAUGAUUAAACAAUUAAAAACUUUCUUUAAUUAAAUAAUUAAAUUUAAUUUUUUUUGUGCAAAAGCAAAAAUAAAAUUUAGGGACAAGAAGACCCUAUGAAUUUUUAUUAUUAAUAUUUUGCAAUUAAAUUAUUAAUAAUUUAAUUGGGGUGAUAAAAAAAGAAUAAGUAUCUUUUUAAAUUAUAAAAUAAGUUCCGUUUUUAGCGAUUAAAUGAAAAAAAUACUCUAGGGAUAACAGCGUAAUAAUUUUGGAUAGUUCAUAUAGAUAAAAUAGUUUGCGACCUCGAUGUUGGAUUAGGAUUCUUUUUUGGUGAAGAAGUUAAGAAAAGAAGUUUGUUCAACUUUUAAAUUCCUACUUGAUCUGAGUUCAGACC
rnacentral:rRNA from 1 species